GAUGAACGCUGGCGGCGUGCCUAAUACAUGCAAGUCGAGCGAACGGACGCGAAGUUUGUUUCUCUGAUGUUAGCGGCGGACGGGUGAGAAACACGUGGAUAACCUCCCUAUAUGACGGGGAUAACUUCGGGAAACCGGAGCUAAUACCGGAUAAUAUUUUGAACCGCAUGGUUCAAAAGUGAAAGUCGGUCUUUCUGUCACUUAUAGCUGGUUCCGCGCUGCAUUAGCUAGUUGGUAAGGUAACGGCUUACCAAGGCAACGAUGCAUAGCCGACCUGAGGGGGGGAUAGGCGACACGGGAGGUGAGACACGGUCCAGACUCCUAAGGGAGGCAGCAGUAGGGAAUCGGCGGCAAUGGGCGAAAGCCUGACGGAGCAACGCGACGCGAGUGAUGAAGACGUUCGGAUCGUAAUACUCUGUUAUUAGGGAAGAACAGAUGUGUCAGUAACUGUGCACAGCUUGACGGUACUGGAUCAGAAAGCCACGGCUAACUACGUG
rnacentral:rRNA from 1 species